rnacentral:rRNA from 1 species
UACGGAGGGUGCAAGCGUUAUCCGGAUUCACUGGGUUUAAAGGGUGCGUAGGUGGUCAGGUAAGUCAGUGGUGAAAUCUCCGGGCUUAACCCGGAAACUGCCGUUGAUACUAUUUGUCUUGAAUGUCGUGGAGGUGAGCGGAAUAUGUCAUGUAGCGGUGAAAUGCUUAGAGAUGACAUAGAACACCGAUUGCGAAGGCAGCUCACUACGCGAAUAUUGACGCUGAGGCACGAAAGCGUGGGGAUCAAACAGG